rnacentral:rRNA from 1 species
AGAGUUUGAUCCUGGCUCAGGACGAACGCUGGCGGCGUGCCUAACACAUGCAAGUCGAACGGAAGUUAGAGCUUCGGUUUUAACUUUAGUGGCGAACGGGUGAGUAACGCGUGAGGAACCUGCCUUUCAGUGGGGGACAACAGUUGGAAACGACUGCUAAUACCGCAUGACACUUUUGAGGGACAUCCCUUAAAAGUCAAAGCUUUAUGUGCUGAAAGAUGGCCUCGCGUCUGAUUAGCUAGUUGGUGAGGUAACGGCUCACCAAGGCGACGAUCAGUAGCCGGUCUGAGAGGAUGAACGGCCACAUUGGGACUGAGAUACGGCCCAGACUCCUACGGGAGGCAGCAGUGGGGAAUAUUGGGCAAUGGGGGAAACCCUGACCCAGCAGCGCCGCGUGAAGGAAGAAGGCCUUCGGGUUGUAAACUUCUUUUACCAGGGACGAAGGACGUGACGGUACCUGGAGAAAAAGCAACGGCUAACUACGCGCCAGCAGCCGCGGUAAUACGUAGGUUGCAAGCGUUGUCCGGAUUUACUGGGUGUAAAGGGCGUGUAGGCGGAGAUGCAAGUUGGGAGUGAAAUCCAUGGGCUCAACCCAUGAACUGCUCUCAAAACUGUAUCCCUUGAGUAUCGGAGAGGCAAGCGGAAUUCCUAGUGUAGCGGUGAAAUGCGUAGAUAUUAGGAGGAACACCAGUGGCGAAGGCGGCUUGCUGGACGACAACUGACGCUGAGGCGCGAAAGCGUGGGGAGCAAACAGGAUUAGAUACCCUGGUAGUCCACGCUGUAAACGAUGAAUACUAGGUGUGGGGGGACUGACCCCUUCCGUGCCGCAGCAAACGCAAUAAGUAAUCCACCUGGGGAGUACGACCGCAAGGUUGAAACUCAAAGGAAUUGACGGGGGCCCGCACAAGCAGUGGAGUAUGUGGAUUAAUUCGAAGCAACGCGAAGAACCUUACCAGGUCUUGACAUCGUAUGCAUAGCUCAGAGAUGAGUGAAAUCUCUUCGGAGACAUAUAGACAGGUGGUGCAUGGUUGUCGUCAGCUCGUGUCGUGAGAUGUUGGGUUAAGUCCCGCAACGAGCGCAACCCUUACUGUUAGUUGCUACGCAAGAGCACUCUAGCAGGACUGCCGUUGACAAAACGGAGGAAGGUGGGGAUGACGUCAAAUCAUCAUGCCCCUUAUGACCUGGGCCUCACACGUACUACAAUGGUUGUCAACAGAGGGAAGCAAAGCCGCGAGGUGGAGCGAACCCCUAAAAGCAGUCUUGGUUCGGAUUGUAGGCUGCAACCCGCCUACAUGAAGUCGGAAUUGCUAGUAAUCGCAGAUCAGCAUGCUGCGGUGAAUACGUUCCCGGGCCUUGUACACACCGCCCGUCACGCCAUGGGAGUCGGUAACACCCGAAGCCUGUAGUCUAACCGCAAGGAGGACGCAGUCGAAGGUGGGAUUGAUGACUGGGGUGAAGUCGUAACAAGGUA